CAUUCCAUAUAUCGAUAGGAUCAAUCUGUCGUCUGCCGGUCGGCCGGCCUGCACCCUAUAAAUUGCACCGCAUGCAGCUUCUUUAUCAUAUCCCAUCCAUUUAACUCGAUCACUCAUUUGGAUCAAUUUCAAUUUCCACACAAAUCCGCCCGCCCAUCCAUCUCGAUCUUAGCUACCUAGCUUAAUUGCUAGCUGCACUUAAUUAAUUUGCAGAAGAGAACGAAGAUCAGAUGGUGAUGCCCAAAACACGCCGCCGCUGCUUCUUGCUGCUCUCUUUCUUGCUUUGCUUCAUGUUAAUCGCUACUCAAGGUGCAGGGAGAAAUUUGAGAAGUGCAAGCAGUGAAUUGGAAGGAGCUAAAAAACAUACAAGGAAUCAUCAUCACCAUCGUCAAAGUGUUGUAGUAAUUACAAAGAAGAAGGUACCGGCCAAGACCACAGUAGACAUAGACAUAGACAUAAACAACGAGGAUUACACUCCUGCUCAGAAGAAACCUCCUAUUCAUAAUUGAUCCCAUCCAUCUCAUCCACAACAAUAAUAUAUAUACCAAUUCUAGAUAGCUCGAUCGCGAGCUGCAUGCAUGCAUGCAUGCAAAUAUAAGAUCAGAUCCAUCCAUCCAUCCAUUUUCUUUUUUGAAAACUAAACUUUAUAUAUAUAUAGAUACAGUUUCAAUUAGUCGAUUAACUAAGAGUACGAAUGUCCGUUAAGUUGUAUGUGGAUCUGAUAGAUCACCCGGCCUAUCCAUGUAAUUAAGUUGCUAGCUUAUAUUAGGCGUUGUUAGUCAGUUGCAAUUUACGUUAUAAUAUAUUAAUAUAAUAGUUGCAAUUAAGAUCAGAGGGCGUAGAGUAUAUAUAUAUAUAUAUAUAUAUAUAUAUAUAUAUAUGGUUAAUUAGCUAGCUGCGCUGCGCUAUAGGAAGUAGUGAUGAUGGAUUUGUAUGUAUAUAUAAUAUUUAAGAUAUAUAAUGUAUGUUACAUAGCGCCAAUGUAAUAAUGUUAGUUUAUAGUAUUAUCAUAUCAUAUCAAUUCAAUAUA